rnacentral:lncRNA from 1 species
CAGAAUUUUACUGAAUGAAUGAGUAUAAAUAAUCAAUUAAAUUUCUAUUUUUUUUUAUCCUCAUAGAUUCUGGCUUCAAUCAUCUAUUUAUGGUGAAUUCUAUGUCAGCAGGGUUUCUUAUCUCGUUAACAUCUAUACAAGAUUGGCUUGAGCCCACAUUUCUGUCUGUAGAAAUUUAGAUCUGACCUGGAAAUUUUGUCAAGUUUCUAGUAGGUUUUUCUUCUCAUGAAUACUUUAUCCUCAGCUCUUAUGACUAUUAUCACAUUUCUGCAUCAAGUGAGCCCAGAUAUGAAACUCAGAUCUUUUCACAAUUUUCAAAGAGCCUGGAUUCAUCCAUUUUCUGUUGCCAACAACACAAUACCACAGACUGGGUGAGUAAUAAAGCAAGGGGGUCUAUUUUGGCUGGUGGUUUUAGAGGUGCAAGGUUGAAGGGCCCCAUCUGGUGUGGGCCUUCCUGCUGACAGAGUCCUAAAGUGAUGCAGGGCUUCAAGACACAUGGGGUGGGCAUAUUCAUAUGUGCCUCUUCUGGUCUUCCUCCCUCUUCCUAUAAAGCCACCAGGAUUCAAUCACAGAGGGGAAGACUUCAACCUAAUGACGAAUUCUAAUCAUAUCUCAAAGGCCCUACCUCUAAACCUGAUAGAUGGAUUGUUUCUACUCUGUUAAUGCCUCAUAAUGGGGAUUUAGUUUCAACACAUGAAGCUUUGGUGCACACAUACCACAUCUACAAUCCAUAGCUAAAGCUUACAUGUAAUAAUCAUAAGAGUGGGAAACUACUGAAACAAGGGACUGGAGGUUAUGGCGGGAUAGAAGGAGGAACUUUAUGUUUCAGCAAUGCAAGC